AAUUUUUACACAUAUGCAAUACACAUUUUUAGAUGGCAAGUGACUUGUCUUCAAGUUUGAUUUGUACAAGACCCGUUAAAAACGAUAGAAUAGAAAAGCGUUGAAAUUCUGCAUGAGUGACACAGGAACAAGAUUCUUACGGGCUCUGAAAUUGAAGUUGGGGUAUUCAGAGUCGAGGGUAAUAACAGUGGUUAUGUGUUCUCCUCUUUCCCACUCUACAAUCAUCACCAGAGAAAUGCAGCCCAUGCAGCAGCAGCCUACGUUGUACGUACGUAGUAGGAAAUAGGAAUGGGUUGGGAGGUAAACCUCGAAUUUCUACGGAGGAGAGAAUCGAAGAAACUGUUGGAGAAAGGAACAAGAUCAUGCGCCACAAGGUUGACUCUCUCCAACGUUGUGUUUGCACAAAGUGAAAGUUGAAGCAGUGGGAGAAAGUCGUCCUCCUCGUCCUCGUCGUACGUACAUAUCCAGCAGCAAGUCGUGUUGGCUUGGUUAACUUGCUUGGUUAACACCAUUGUCACCGGAAGGGUUGUUGGGGAAAAGAAUUCUGUGCGACUUUACUUGCUUUCCAACUGGCUCGACGUGUGCAGAGCCAUAUAUUUUAUUUUCUCUGUAAAUUAGUAAAAGUUUUAUAAACCCGAAAUGUUAUACAUGUAUGCACAGAUGUAUAAUGCUCCCAAUCUUUGAUUUUCUGUAAAAUUAUUAUUAAAAUUAUUAUAACUAAUUGAAAAUGCUCAAAAAUAUUUAGACAAAUGACUCUAACUUGUGUUUCACUAAACUUAAUUCGAUGUCAAACCAACUCUAUCGAGAGAUUAUUACUGGAUAAAUUAUAUGUAUGCAUGCAUGCUCACAUGGUCAAAUAUAGGUAUUUGUACAUCUAUAUAUUUGUAUAUGCAGAUAGAUCUGUCUCCAACAUACUAAAUAAGUGCACUUCAAGUUUUAGGGUUUUUAUUUCCAGCUUCAUACAUUUUAUUUUAUUUUUUACUUAUGUACUGACCCAUGUUGAGAACUGUGCAGCAUGAGUCAACCAUUCGCCCACAUUGCAAGAGUAGGAAUAUCCAUAGCAGUGAAACUUGUCUGACUGCUUAAAAGUUUGUACUUUCGGUGGAUAUUAUGUAGAGAAAUUCGACACCUAUAAGAUUACCGAGAGUAGUUGGGUUGCUGAACGCCUUUCACCAAGAAAUGAACGACGUUCCCCGCCCGUCUUUUCAAACUUUCUUUCCGUUACUUUAUUUGAAUGUUAUUUAAUACUUGAGCGUCUUUAGUAAACAAAUGAAACUUUGUAACGGGUGUAGAUGUUUGCAGACUCUGCCUUCCUCCUUUUAUGGACUACAUAGCAUGAUUGGCACAAUAUUCUAAAUAUGGUACGUAAACUUGGAUUGUACCGGAAGGCGAAGUUAUUGAUUACUGCCGUUACUAAAAUAAUUAAUUUCUUAAUAAUGCCAUUUCUUGUUUUUAAUAUGAAUACAUACGCAACUUUAUACUUGUAAGUACAUCUGAAUUCCACAAAGUGAGGUAAUAUAAAGACAUGUAUUUGAUACAUUUGUAUAUUUUUGUAUAUUUCUAUAAUUUUUUAAACAAAUUAUACUUAACAUAUGUAUGACUUAUAUUUAUACAUAAUUAUCGUGUCAUGCAUUUAAGGGAAUUAAGAUUUAUUUGGCACGCAAUUAGGUACUAAAGAUCGCAAAAGCCAAUAAAGCCUGACAUAUUUGUGUUUUGAUUAAGCCAUCA